rnacentral:rRNA from 1 species
AGAACGAACGCUGGCGGCAUGCCUAACACAUGCAAGUCGAACGAGACCUUCGGGUCUAGUGGCGCACGGGUGCGUAACGCGUGGGAAUCUGCCCUUCGGUUCGGAAUAACAGUUAGAAAUGACUGCUAAUACCGGAUAAUGACGUAAGUCCAAAGAUUUAUCGCCGAAGGAUGAGCCCGCGUAAGAUUAGCUAGUUGGCGAGGUAAAGGCUCACCAAGGCUACGAUCUUAGCUGGUCUGAGAGGACGAUCAGCCACACUGGGACUGAGACACGGCCCAGACUCCUACGGGAGGCAGCA